rnacentral:rRNA from 1 species
UACACACCGCCCGUCACAUCACGAAAGUCGGUUGCACUAGAAGUCGGUGGGCUAACCCGCAAGGGAGGCAGUCGACCACGGUAGGGUCAGCGACUGGGUG